rnacentral:rRNA from 1 species
UACGUAGGGAGCAAGCGUUGUUCGGAUUUACUGGGCGUAAAGGGCGCGUAGGCGGCGUGUUAAGCCAGCUGUGAAACCUCCAAGCUCAACUUGGAACGGCCAGCUGAUACUGAUGUGCUAGAGUGCAGAAGGGGCAAUCGGAAUUCUUGGUGUAGCGGUGAAAUGCGUAGAUAUCAAGAGGAACACCUGAGGUGAAGACGGGUUGCUGGGCUGACACUGACGCUGAGGCGCGAAAGCCAGGGGAGCAAACGGG